CAAUUAUUAUUACAGAAACAUACAACAGAUAGAUUUUUUCCUGCAAUGAAGGUGCAGGCCUUGUAAAAUCUAUAAAAAUACAUUAUGUUCUGGAAGCCUCUGAAGGAAGAGGACGACGCCUCUUAAGCUUAGCCAUGAGCCUCUCAUGGUCUCCCAAAAUUCUUUCAUUGGAGACCUGCAGCAUGUCUAGCCUUCUCAGUGUAUCAACGGAGUACGAACUCACCAG
rnacentral:lncRNA from 1 species